AGUAAAAGUCGUAACAAGGUCUCCGUUGGUGAACCAGCGGAGGGAUCAUUACAAGAGCGUUAGCAAUAGCGCAUAACCCUUUGUGAACAUACCUUUUGUCAGUUGCUUCGGCGGGAGGCCCCUGGGAGGGGCCCCGGGGCCCGGCCGCGCCGGGCUCCCGCCGGAGGGACGCCCCACCAAACUCUUGCUGUACCUCAGUGGCACAUCCGAGUCAAAACAAAAAAACAAAUCAAAACUUUCAACAACGGAUCUCUUGGUUCUGGCAUCGAUGAAGAACGCAGCGAAAUGCGAUAAGUAAUGUGAAUUGCAGAAUUCAGUGAAUCAUCGAAUCUUUGAACGCACAUUGCGCCCGCGAGCAUUCUCGCGGGCAUGCCUGUUCGAGCGUCAUUUCAACCCCUCAGGCCCUGGUGCCUGGCGUCGGGACCCGCCCCCCCCGGGGCGGUCCUCAGAAACAGUGGCGGACCCGCCGCGGCUCCGAGCGCAGUAGGAACAUUCUCGCUUAGGAGGUCUGCGGAGGCGUCCCGGCCGUAAAACCCGCGCCCCGGCGCACAUCUAAGGUUGACCUCGGAUCAGGUAGGAAUACCCGCUGAACUUAAGCAUAUCAAUAAGCGGAGGA
rnacentral:rRNA from 1 species